rnacentral:tRNA from 1 species
UAUAACUCAGUGGUAGAAUGUUCACCUAGCAUGUGAAAGGCCCUGAGUUCAAUCCCCAGUA